UUUUAUUCUCUUAUCAGACUUGGUAUACAUCAGCAAGUGAAUAUGAAAUAUUUUGUUCCUUAAACUGACAAGCAAAUGUUACACUGAUCUGUUGCCAACAGUGUGUACAACAUCACCUGGUGUGCACAACAGUAUCCUCCUUAGACAAGUGCUUGCAGUGUCUGGGACCUGUAUCCUCCUUCAAAUGGCUUGGCUAUAAAUGCAAAGUUUGUUCACAGGUCUGGCAUAAAUCCUGUAUCCGUCAAAUUCCAAAUGAGCCAAACCUUUCACAAGAGCAACAGUCUGCUGAAUGUUCUGGGGAUCAAUUAUCAUCAGAUCAGUAUAUCAAGAGACUACGUUUAGAACAGGAGCCACAAUCAGAUGAUGAUGAACACUUUUCUGAUGAGGAUUACAUACCAGACACAACAGAUGAAGAAGAUGAAGAUUUAGAUGCAAGGAUGCCCUUUAUGUCUCAUCAGUUGAAAGCCCAACAGCCAGCAAUAUUCAGUGCUACAACAUCAAAUGUGGGAGACACAAGCAUCCCAGUUGUACCUAGUACAUCAAAAUGUUGGCCACCUCUUGAGGAUCAUAUGAGUUCCAGUGCUGUUGAAACGUCCGAUUCAGCAAAUGGUGUCAAACAGUCAUCAAAGGAUAAACCAGAGGGUGAAGAAGAGCUUCAGAGACCAGAAUCAGCGCUUCUGACUAUGAGCUCUAAAAAUUAUUGUUAUGUCUGUGGUAAACCACAAAGCAAAAUUUCACGCCACUUGAAAACGCAUACAACACAUGCUGAAAUAGUUCAUGCAUUUUCCCUCCCUGAGCACUCCAAAGAGCGUAAAAUAUUAUUGGAAAAAAUGAGAAAUAAGGGAAAUUUCCAACAUAACACUGCAGUUUUACAAGAUGGGACAG